CUUGUCCCUUUCUGGGCUGGAGAAGCCAGUGAGCUGCUCGUCAGGGAGGCCCAAAUCAUGUGUGAGCCAUACCAGGUGGAGGAGCCUCAAAGUAACUCCAGGCUGGCAUUAGAAGCCAUUGCUGUUUAGUGUUGCUUGUUCAGUUCUGGUCUGGAGUUUCUUCAUGUUGGUAAUACUAGUUUGCAGAUGAUUACUUUUGGCUGCUAUGGCUGGUUCUACACCUGCAGAAUCAAGAUGACCAAUGGAAAAACUAAAACUUCCAAGGUUCGGAAGUUCGGGUUGGUUCAAUAUGCAUUGGGCAAGAAACCCAGUGGAGACCGUGGUGCCAUGAAAGCAAACAAAAGGACGGUCCAGAGAGGUGGUCGAGCAGUUUCAGCCUCCUAUGACGGUGGAAAUUACCAGCAGUCUUUAGUGAUUUGAGUGAACGGACGGUCCAGAGAAGACAACAGGAUCCUGCCUUGGGCUCCCUGGGAGCGGCCAAGCAACUUCAGCCUCCUGUGAAAAUUGAGAGGGAAGACCCUUUCUCAGUACUGCUUUUCAUGUCAUGCUGUGUGAAAAGUCUAAUAAAAUGUUAGAAUGCCUGACUGUUGGUUAACUGCAUCUGCUGCUAAUAUGUACUGAACUAAUCAAGUUUUUAUCUGCGCUUUCCCAGUGUGUAAAAAGAUGCAUCCUUGUGAGUGUUUAAAUAUUUCUUGUUUGCUAAAGUACUGUUGUGCUACCACACAGGAUGA